CACUCGGUAGCACAUGGUUUGUGCCUGCUUGAACUGGUUCGUAGACAGAUGGUUAUGCAGGAGUUUCCCGGUUCGAUUCCGGGUCGGGUGA